rnacentral:rRNA from 1 species
UGGGGAAUAUUGGACAAUGGGCGAAAGCCUGAUCCAGCCAUGCCGCGUGUGUGAAGAAGGUCUUCGGAUUGUAAAGCACUUUAAGUUGGGAGGAAGGGCAGUUACCUAAUACGUGAUUGUUUUGACGUUACCGACAGAAUAAGCACCGGCUAACUCUGUGCCAG